AUACGGGGGUUGCAAGCGUUAAUCGGAAUUACUGGGCGUAAAGCGCGCGUAGGCGGUUUGCUCAGUCGGAUGUGAAAGCCCAGGGCUCAACCUUGGAACUGCAUACGAUACUGGCAAACUAGAGUGUGAGAGAGGAUAGUGGAAUUUCCGGUGUAGCGGUGAAAUGCGUAGAUAUCGGAAGGAACAUCAGUGGCGAAGGCGGCUGUCUGGCUCAACACUGACGCUGAGGUGCGAAAGCGUGGGUAGCAAACAGGAUUAGAAACCCUAGUAGUCC
rnacentral:rRNA from 1 species